CAAAUUUCAAAUACUCACUCUUUUCACACUUUCCCCAAUUCUCUCUCUCUCUCUCUCUCUCUCUCUCUCUCUCUCUCUCUCUCGUUCUCUUUCUUCCCUCUCUUUCCACCCUCAAACCCUAAUACCUUCUUCACCAUAUUUCUCCCUCAUAUCUAUGGCCACCAUCACCUCCAAUAAAAAACCAAUUCCAUAUUCGUAUUUCUCAUCUCAUGGGCUUUCUAAUGAACCUGUUAGAUUUUUGUUUCGUAUUAUUAUUUGUUUUAUAGAUUGAAACGUAAAGGCGCUGGAACGGGAAGAAAACAAUAGAAGAUCCUAACAAGCCCCCAUGUCUUCUUUGUUCUCAUGUAUGAUUUUUCUUCUUCUCUGAUUCUGGUUUUCGAAGAAUUUCCAUAAAGCUACUUUAGCAUUUGAUUCAUCUGAGGUCCUGACACUGCUUUCUUAUUUACUUUGCAAGAGUAUAAGACGAUGUUUGCUUUUGCACUCUAUGUUUGAUAUAAUCCUCAUUUUGAACACCAAGUGUUUGUGUAAAUUUAUGCGGGGUUACGAUUAUUUUCUGUGUUUGCUUACAUUAUCUUAUUUUACAUGGUUGCAUUUUCUAUUUGAGUAGUUGCUUUCAGUAGCUAUCAAGUUUUUUGAUUACGACUUUCUUAUUGUGAGAUUUGUUUUCUACUUGCCGGUAAACAUUUAACCUUGCAGUUAUAGCCGUCCGUGUGAAGCCAGACGCUGUUGCAUUGCAUAUGGAUGAGACAUAAUGGGAUUAAAGUUUAGUUCCUACAUAAUGGGAUCAAAGUUCAUUUCUCUUAUUUCUUCCUCACCUUAUCUAUAUGCUUAAAGUUUUCAAACCUCAUAGGCUGAGUAGGUUUUUGUCUUUAGUCUUGCAGGAAGUAAAGUUCCAUUCGGGUUUUUCGCUAUAACAUUGUUGUUGUGUUUCUUGGUUCUUGAUUAUUUCUCAAUUAGAGGCAUAACUUUAUCUUCUCAAACAUGUACAACUAUAUAUUUUUUUUGUUUCAGCCUUCGCGAAAUACCGAUCUGUAAAAACAAUCUUUUUUGCAUUUUGUAGUAGAGCAGAUUGAGACGGCCUUAGGAAGGAAAGUGGAGUUGAAAUGGAAGGGAUUCUUUCUACAGGAAAAGUGGAAUAAGGAUGUGUUUGCUUCUGAAAGAAGAAAAGCUAAAAUGAUUAAUUUCUCAAUUGGAUAUGGAAAGACUCCGCGUGGUCUUUCUAAGGAUUGGAAGGUUUCUUUUUAAUAUAAGUGACAUUAUAUCUUGGUGUGAAUGACACUGGCAGUAGAUGGACUGACAGGAUUAUUUGCGUGAUUUAGAGAAGGAAAAGGAAGAGCAGAAAAAGAUACAAAAGGAAUUUUCAAAAGCUCACUCUUAAAGAUAGUCCACGAAGUGCAUUCACUGACAAAGAUGAUCUCUCUGGACUGUAAUGGCAUAAACAUUUGAUCUAUGGACCAUCUAAACAUAAUCGUUAUGGCUCUCCACCAUUCCCUGGAAUUGGUGAUGCUGUACAAAUGACCAAGAAGCUACACAUUGUAGAAUCAUGAAGUCGAUUAUGAUUGUUUUUGCCAUUAUUUAGUCUUUUGCAGAAUUGAAGGAAGAGGAGAUUGCCGCUAAAAAUGCAAAUUGAGGUAAUAAGAACUAAAAAUGAGAGUUUGAAGAGGAUGAAGGUACAUUCGAAAUUUCUCCGGUGUGAAUACUUUUGAGAUAGUUUUCUAAGAUGUCAAGUUUGUUCGAUACUUAUCCCAGUUUUCUGAUGGAAGAAGUUUUGAAGAUAGAUGCAACAGUUCUGUAAGCUACGCGGAUGAAAUAAAACUUAAUAGGCUAGAAGAGAAAAGAAGAAAACUCUUUAGGAUUUAGUCCCUGUGGAUGAGGUGGUGCUAGCAAAUCUUGUUUGCCAAUUUGAUUGAAAAUAGCCUGAUGGAGUAGAAGGGAAGGAUUUUGGACAUGUCUGAAACUUUUGGGAUUACCUGUCAUAGAAAAUACCCUCUCCUUGCAGUAGCUACUAAACAUUAGAAAAAAAGGAUUAAACAUCCAUAGAGAAAUAACACGUGACUAAUGAUAAAUAAAGAUGUGUCAUGCUUUGUAUUAAGUGGUUGUGUAGUUUUAUAAGGUUUUGAUCUUUGUAAUUCAAUGUUAGAAGUUCAAAUAUGUUGAUUCUCCAAUCUUUGAUUAUUGUUAUAACCUAUUGUUCAAAUACACAAAAUUUGAUAUAAAUUUAUAAUAUGUGAUCGAACCAUUAAUUUAUUUGUAAAUAUCUUAUUAUAUGUUUAUGUUAACGUAUGGCUUUGACAUAUCAUAUUUCUCAUUAUGAAAGAGAAGAUAAAGAGAAUUAAACUGAAUAAUAAAAGAUAUUAUUUUAAUCUAUUAAUGUAAUGGUGGUAUAAUAUGUAUAUAUAACCAAAUGUCUUAACAAUCUAGAGAAAAACAUUCUAACAGACUUUAACAAACUAUUUAACUACCCGUUGUACCUAUGGAGUCUGAGCAGGAUAUACUUGAAUGUAUGCCACAUAUGCAUUCAACAUGGGAUUUCCAUUCAUGGAUGAUUUUCUUAGUGAUAUUAUUUGUUUGUAUAUAAAUCAUGAUGAUUGAGUUUUGCAGCUAUUAUAAGUUGUUUGAAAUUUUAAUACUUACCUUGUAUUAUACAUUUUGGAAUCUGAUACUUUUUUUGCUUGGGAUUUUGUUCCAGCUAGAAAAUGACUUGUGUGUUAUGCACCUUGAUACAUACAUUUCUACUACUAAUAUGUUUAAUGCAAUGAGAUUCAAUUUUGUUAUGUAAGGUAUAAUAAAACUGCAGAAGAUUUUAUUAAAUUAUAAAGAAAUGAAAUGGUUGAGGGCUUUGAACACUAGAAGUUGUGCAAUAGUUCCAACUAUAAUAGUAGCAACUGUAUCAAGGCACAACAUAAUUAAGUGACAUCAUAAUUAGAUAAUUCAGUCCUGAGCAAAAUAGCAAAAACAAAAGUAAGCAGUGCCAAUAGAGAUAGUAACUUUAUAA